GCUGGGUGCCCUGGUGGGCACCUGUAAUCCCAGCUACUCAGGAGGCUGAGACAGGAGAAUCGCUUGAGCCUGGAAAACAGAGGUGGCAGUGAGCUGAGAUCGUGCCACUGCACUCCAGUCUGGGCAACAGAGCGAGACUAUGUCUCAA
ensembl:misc_RNA Metazoa_SRP Metazoan signal recognition particle RNA